UGUAUAAUCAGAUCCAAUGAUUUGCUUUGCAUCAGGGUCGACUGUUUGCUGUACUUUGACCACUGACACCCCAGCGAGUCCAACUGAAAGAGGUCAAAGCUCCACAGAAAGUGAUGUGGAAUCAAACAGUCAAGAAAGCAUUCUGGUGGGGCAAUUAUGGCAGGCAGCAGUGAGUGUGGCUUCUGGAGUGGCCGUGUUCCUGGUAGGAUUGACAGCUGUCUGUCUCUGCAGGAG